rnacentral:rRNA from 1 species
CAGUCGACUCCUACGGGAGGCAGCAGUGGGGAAUAUUGCACAAUGGCGCAAGGCCUGAUGCAGCCAUGCCGCGUGUGUGAAGAAGGCCUUCGGGUUGUAAAGCACUUUCAGUUGUGAGGAAAGGUUAGUCGCUAAUAUCGGCUAGCUGUGACGUUAGCAACAGAAGAAGCACCGGCUAACUCCGUGCCAGCAGCCGCGGUAAUACGGAGGGUGCGAGCGUUAAUCGGAAUUACUGGGCGUAAAGCGCGUGUAGGUGGCUUGUUAAGCCAGAUGUGAAAGCCCCGGGCUCAACCUGGGAACUGCAUUUGGAACUGGCAGGCUAGAGUUUUGUAGAGGGUGGUAGAAUUUCAGGUGUAGCGGUGAAAUGCGUAGAGAUCUGAAGGAAUACCGGUGGCGAAGGCGACCACCUGGCCAAUAACUGACACUGAGACGCGAAGGCGUGGGUAGCAAACGGGAUUAGAUACCCUGGUAG